UAGAAAUAAUACAAAAGGCACCUCAUUAUUCAAUGCCUCGCAAAUAAACUAAAAAAAAUAAUCAAAACCAUUUCUCCACAACUAAAAAAAGGCUUGAACCAAAACUCAUUCUCGCCCCCAAACUUCCCUUCACGAUAAUUGACUCCAAAAAUGACCAAUUUGUCAAUAUAUACAAUAUCAUGGACCAAUUUUGUCCUAACAAAAUCCAGUAUAGCUAUUAAACUAAAACAGACCACCUGGUACUUGCCACUCAAAAUCAGGACCACUUUAGCUACCAAAAAUAUAUAUAUAUAAAAAAAUGAGGAGGCCAAGUCAUGGCCCAUGAAACUACUAUCCCCUUCUUCUGCAUCAAACCCCAGGUGGGCUAAAUCUCUCUUCUUUUUCACUUGUAAUCCAAAAGGGUCAGAACUCAUCUCAAUUUCUACUAACUUUUUCAAUGGAGGUCAAAAAAUUUAGUCUUUCAUAGAAAAAUGGUAGUGAAGGCACAUGUGAAGGUGGAGCAAAAGAAUGAAACUGAAGUAAAAGUGGGGUAAGGUAUCUGCUGUGCCUUUUGAUAUGGAUGGAGUGUUGUUCAAUAGUGAAGAGCCUUUCAGAAUGGCAGGUGUUGAUAUUUUUGCUGAGAUGGGAGUUGAAGUUACAGUGGAGGAUUUUGUGUCAUUCAUGGGCACGGGUAAUAUAUAUAUAUAUGUAUGGUUCUUCAGUUUGAGAUUUUGUGCUUUGAUACAGUGAUUAUUUCUUGUUAGAUAAUAAGUGAUUGGAUAUUUGGUUUCAAUUAGCGAGAAUUUCAAUGUUAGCAAUUCUUUUUUGUUUCUUGAAAAGAAUGCAAAUGAUUUGCCAUUUGAUAUUUAGAGGACUUGUUGUAUAAUGUUGUCAAUGGUUCUGUUUUUAUUUUCUGGAAUUUGGUGUUUGAGUGACAGAAAUUUGAUUGUUUGAGAUGGAAAUUUGAUGGGAAGUAGCUGUAGUUUUACUGCUGAGUUUAUUCAAUGUAUUAGUGAAGCAAACUACUUUGGCGUUGCAAAUGUAAAGGGUAUUAAGGGAUUCGGUCCUGAUCGAGGCGGAAAAGAAAAUGUUCUGUGAGAUAUGUCUAGAUAAGGUUUGAUUAGUGUGAAAGAUUAUAUAUCCAAGUUUGUAAUGCAGUGUGAAUUUGUGUUGUGAGGCCCAAAGUCCUUUCACACAUUGCAGCAUGCAAAACCGAAUCCUGGAAUUUGAUUUCCAGCUGCCCUUGAACUCAUCACUCUGGUAUGAAACUGCAAAAAUCCAGAAUUUGAAUAAUGAGAUUGUGUUGAGUCUACAUUAGCAUAGUGCCUCCUGUAUGACAGUGCAAAAACAAAGGCCUGAAAGUUGCUGUUGCAUCUAGUGCUGAUCGCGUAUCAAAGUGGAUGCUAAUUUAGCUGCUGCUGGCUUGCCAGUAUCAUUGUAAGCUUAACUAUUGUUUGUCCCAUUUGCCCAUUUCUCUAGCUCUUCGAAUAGUCGUACAAUUCCAUUUUCACAUUUAGCUGAUUGUCACUGAAAUGCUCAGUACUUUACCAUGGAAUAUGUAAUGCUGAAUAAUAAUUAAAUUUCAGAAUUGUAUAAUGUUGAGUGUGGAGACAAACUCACACAAUCCUAGCUUUGAUGGGAUGGAGACAAGGCUUGAAGAAAGGAGUUAAUAAAAGGGCUAAAAUCAUGGCUGCAAAUCAAGGGAGGAUUUGUGGUGAUUUUUUGGGAGAAAUCAUGGAUGAAAAUGGGAUGUGUUCCCCCAUUUUCAACUAUAAAUAGGCACCAUAUGUAUGAGCAAAGUGGAGCCAAUUGAGAGGAGAAACAGAGAGCUAGAGAGAGCUGCCUUGUAGUGGCAAGCUGAGUGAGAGAGAUGGGAGUGGAGUUGAGCAAGUGUCCAAACCAAGUUAAAAUAUUGUACUCAGCCUCUGGGCAAAGAUCGAAUCGAUCCUAACAUAUAAGUGGGUUUGAUGCUAUUGUGUCAACUGAUGAUUUUGAGAAUUUGAAACAAACUCCUGCAUUUUCUUGGCCGCAUCAAUUCCCUUGAAGUUUCCUUUCAAUUAACUUGAUUUGAAAACUUUAUUUGGUAUUUGCAGGGAGACUUACUGUAGCUGAUACGAACAGUCUAAUCAGGUAUCUAGACUUGAACAUGGAACAAGCUGAACUUCAAACUUUGGACCUGAAAGGAGUACAGCCUCCAGCAUCAAAAUCCGAAUCCUUGAAGCGUCUCAGGAAUCGAUCAUCAGCUGACACAGAGACAAUUGAAGUUGAUGGUGGUUCAUCCAUUGAGAGCAACCUGUGUCUCGAAAUAUCAUUACCUGAAGAGUACCGUUUCUCAUAGGUCUCCUAAGAUCCAGCCUAGUUAUUAUUGUUCCCUGCCAUGUUUCAUCCUUUAUUUUUUUCACUUUUGUUGCAUAUCAUAAUUGAUGUAGGUGGUUCCGAUCAGCAAGUUGUGGAUCCAUCAUAAUUGAGCUUGAUGGUUAGCCAUGUAGGGAUGUUUAUGGACCGAUGGGAUAGGUUUAAGUCUAAGAAAAAGCCUAGGUCAUGCAGGGUGAUCGACCUAACAAAAAAAGCCAUAACUUUCAAUCUAACAGUUGGAUUGUGCUUAAAUUUUACCAUGAGAAUUUACUAGCCCAAUUCCAUAAGGGAUCAGUUCAUUGUUACAAAUGAUCCUCAAAUUAGGCCUAGAAGGUGUUGUCCGGGCUAGUUUUGUUAUUUUUCCUCUGUAUUAUAGAUUUCUUAGUUUGUUCAGGAUUUUCAUUGCUUUUUUUUUCAUAUUAUUUAGUUUGUCUAGGUUAAUGUUUUUAGGUUUAUUUAAAGAGUUGUAAAACUAUUCAGCAAUAAAAUUUUGAAUUAGAAUUUUUAUGUGAUAACUCUAUUUAGUAAAAUUCUAUGUUGCUUGUACCUGUUUUUGUUCAUAUGUUGUUUCCAUCUAUCUCAACAAUCUUCUCCUUUGUGAACUCAACUGCAGGAAGCACGCAAUAAAUUCAGUGUUGAAACUGAACCCAAAAAUGCAGUGCUGAUCGAUCCCUCUUGAAGGUUAGUUAUUUAGGUUCAGAAGGAACUGCGAGCCUUGAUUUUAAAAGAUGCACUGCCUCUUCUUCAAUAGGAAGAAUAAAUUGCAGGGCUCACUAUUGUAAGCAAGAUGAGGUCUGCUUAUAUCAAUCACUUGCUAGAAGAAAUUUCAGACUCUACCGGUCUACCCCAUCAGAAAUCACACUUGCAUAUCUUGUGAAGCCCAAAUCUUCACCAAACAACUUGCAGCUACCAGUUACCAGCUGACAGCAUUCUCAUGCACAUGCAUUGUAAGAUUUUUUUGGUACAAUUUUGUGAUAUAUUUUCCAUGAAACAUGGAAGUUGAUUGGAUGGAGCAGCUUAUCUCAGUAAAUCAAAGAAAAUGACAUUUUCAUUGGAUUCGAAGAUGUCAAUGGAUUGUCACAUGUAAAUGUUUGACAUUUUGGAAGAGAGAACAUAGAUGUAGAGAACAGAUAUCAUCGCUCUUUUAUUGAGUUUCUUUUUCCAACCUUCA